rnacentral:rRNA from 1 species
UACGGGGGGGCAAGGCGUUGUUCGGAAUUACUGGGCGUAAAGGGCUCGUAGGCGGGCCAACUAAGGUCAGACGUGAAAUCCCGUCGGCUUAACCGGGGACUGCAGCUGAUACGGGCAGGCUUGAGUCGGUAGGGGAGACUGGAAGUCUGGUGUGAGCGGGUGAAUGACGCAGAGUAUCAGGAGGAACACCGGUGGCGAAGGCGGGUCUCUGG